AAGACCUUGCACUUUUGGAGCGGCCGAUGUCUGAUUAGCUAGUUGGUGGGGUAAUGGCCUACCAAAGCUUCGAUCAGUAGCUGGUCUGAGAGGACGGCCAGCCACACUGGGACUGAGACACGGCCCAGACUCCUACGGGAGGCAGCAGUGGGGAAUUUUGGACAAUGGGCGCAAGCCUGAUCCAGCCAUGCCGCGUGAGUGAAGAAGGCCUUCGGGUUGUAAAGCUCUUUCAGCCGGGAAGAAAAGGUUGCGACUAAUAAUCGCAAUUCAUGACGGUACCGGAAGAAGAAGCACCGGCUAACUACGUGCCAGCAGCCGCGGUAAUACGUAGGGUGCGAGCGUUAAUCGGAAUUACUGGGCGUAAAGGGUGCGCAGGCGGUUUUGUAAGUCAGACGUGAAAUCCCCGGGCUUAACCUGGGAACU
rnacentral:rRNA from 1 species